GUAGUUAGGUUUAGUAGGCAAAUCCGCUAGACUAUUAAUGAGAUCUGAUAGCAAGCUGUACUUGUACAGUGAAGUGGCUGAUACCAUGCUUCCAGGAAAAGUCUCUAAGCUUCAGUUACACAGGAAUCGUACCCGAAACCGACACAGGUGGUCAGGUCGAGUAGACCAAAGCGCUUGAGAGAACUCUGCUGAAGGAACUAGGCAAAAUGGUACCGUAACUUCGGGAGAAGGUACGCUCUUACGUGUGAAGGACUUGCUCCGUAAGCAUGUGAGAGUCGCAGUGACCAGCUGGCUGCAACUGUUUAUUAAAAACACAGCACUCUGCAAACACGAAAGUGGACGUAUAGGGUGUGAUGCCUGCCCGGUGCUGGAAGGUUAAUUGAUGGGGUUAGCGUAAGCGAAGCUCUUGAUCGAAGCCCCGGUAAACGGCGGCCGUAACUAUAACGGUCCUAAGGUAGCGAAAUUCCUUGUCGGGUAAGUUCCGACCUGCACGAAUGGCGUAACGAUGGCCACACUGUCUCCUCCUGAGACUCAGCGAAGUUGAAAUGUUUGUGAUGAUGCAAUCUCCCCGCGGAAAGACGGAAAGACCCCAUGAACCUUUACUGUAGCUUUGUAUUGGACUUUGAACAGAUCUGUGUAGGAUAGGUGGGAGGCUUUGAAGUAAGGACGCUAGUUCUCAUGGAGCCAACGUUGAAAUACCACCCUGGUGUGUUUGAGGUUCUAACCUAGGUCCAUUAUCUGGAUCGGGGACAGUGCAUGGUAGGCAGUUUGACUGGGGCGGUCUCCUCCCAAAGCGUAACGGAGGAGUUCGAAGGUACGCUAGUUACGGUCGGACAUCGUGACGAUAGUGCAAUGGCAUAAGCGUGCUUAACUGCGAGACUGACAAGUCGAGCAGAUGCGAAAGCAGGACAUAGUGAUCCGGUGGUUCUGUAUGGAAGGGCCAUCGCUCAACGGAUAAAAGGUACUCUGGGGAUAACAGGCUGAUACCGCCCAAGAGUUCAUAUCGACGGCGGUGUUUGGCACCUCGAUGUCGGCUCAUCUCAUCCUGGGGCUGUAGCCGGUCCCAAGGGUAUGGCUGUUCGCCAUUUAAAGAGGUACGUGAGCUGGGUUUAAAACGUCGUGAGACAGUUUGGUCCCUAUCUUCCGUGGGCGCUGCAGAUUUGAGGAAGCCUGCUCCUAGUACGAGAGGACCGGAGUGGACGUACCGCUGGUGUACCUGCUGUCUCGCCAGAGGCAUCGCAGGGUAGCUAUGUACGGAAGAGAUAACCGCUGAAAGCAUCUAAGCGGGAAGCCUGCCUCAAGAUAAGUUCUCCCACUCGAAAGAGCUCAAGGACCCAGGGAGACUACCUGGUUGAUAGGCUGG
rnacentral:rRNA from 1 species